rnacentral:rRNA from 1 species
CGGUUUUUCUCAUCGGGCGAGCCCUCGAUCCCGCCACGCCGCGUGGUGAUGAAGGCUUCGGGUUUUUAACCUCUUUUUGCCGGGGGAAAAAAUCUCGUGCGAGAAAAAUUAGAUCGUACCUCGGUGAAUAAGCCACGGCUAACUACUUAGCCAGCAGCCGCGGUAAUAAUAUAAAA